ACCUCUAAGAUAUGAUAUAGAGUAGAAGAGAAAGAAUUAGCCUAUCCUUGCCAACUUUUCCCACUCUUAUUAUUGUCCGAUAGUUAGCAAUCACACGCUAUAUCAAACAGGACAAAGAAAAGAGUAGCAAACCUAAUUGGCUUGGUGGCUAUUGCCCGUAAGUUACGCUAUCAUAUUAGACUUUUAUAGCAAAGGCUUCAUGCUUCAUGACACU
rnacentral:lncRNA from 1 species